rnacentral:rRNA from 1 species
GUAGGAUAGAGGAGUGCUCGAAAGAGAGCCGUAACACAGGUGCUGCAUGGCUGUCGUCAGCUCGUGUCGUGAGAUGUUGGGUUAAGUCCCGCAACGAGCGCAACCCUUGUCAUUAGUUGCUACAUUCAGUUGGGCACUCUAAUGAGACUGCCGGUGACAAACCGGAGGAAGGUGGGGAUGACGUCAAGUCCUCAUGGCCCUUAUAGGUGGGGCUACACACGUCAUACAAUGGAUGGUACAAAGGGUCGCCAACCCGCGAGGGGGAGCCAAUCCCAUAAAGCCAUUCGUAGUCCGGAUCGCAGUCUGCAACUCGACUGCGUGAAGUCGGAAUCGCUAGUAAUCGUGGAUCAGAAUGUCACGGUGAAUACGUUCCCGGGUCUU